CCAGCUAGCUUGCUGCAGCGAGGUGUUUUUCGGCUGAAAGGCGCCCCCUGGGUCCUAAGUCUCCUAUACCCUGCAAGAUGACUAACCCUGAGCCAACAGAGGAACUCGGCCAAGUGAAGAGAGGCAAAGAGGUUCAGGCUGUGCUCAGCAACGGAUCAGUGUGAGACUUGCACUGGCUGCAUCCCCAGGGUUUUCAUCUCUUCUGUUUCCAUUUGUUUACUUCCUCCACCUAAGUCUUGGAUGGGGAUCCAAGGGUUGGAAUCAGCUUCUUCCAAACUUCCGUUAAUGUUGCUAUCUUGACCUCUUCCCAUGAAUCACAAGUGUUCUUAAUGGCAUCUAGAAUGGGGAGGCUGCUGCGAUUCUCAAAGGUUCUGCACAAGGCAGCCAGUCUGGGAUGCUGCCACACAGGGGAGGACAGCGGUCGGUCAGCCUCGCAGAGCAGUAGCCAGUCAACAGAGAGGCCACCGCUCCCCAAGGCUGUCAGGUAGGAAGCCCUCCCCUCCCAGCCUUGUCCCCGGCCCUCCCAGAGAGGAGUGGGUAGGGCGUGGUGGACGGUGGGCCACGUGCCGCCAACCCCCCUGCUCAAACCACUUGGGCCAUGGCCACGUCUAGCUUCCCUGGGGGAAGCAGGGCAAGAACUUUGAGGGGAGCUUGAGAUGGAUAUUUUAAGAAUAUUUUUAUUUAUGUAAACAUUUAAAAUCAAUUAAAUGGCAGAAGGAGACUAUUCUAUUUCCAAAGGAGCUAAGAACCUGUGGCAUCUAUCAGUAAGCCUACCCAGUGAGAAAAAGGUAUUGACCACCGUGUCACUGAGGGCAGCUACUGAAAAAGAUUUAAAAACUCUACAUGUAUACAGGAUGAGAUGUCCCUGUAGUUUCAUUUCCUUCCAGUCUUUUUCCAUGCAUCUUUUUAACAUUGUUCAGAUCUUACUACCAAGGCAGUUUCAUUGUUUCAUAACCACUUUUAACAUAAACAUUUCUCACGUAUUAAGCAUUUGUUGUAAUCAUCAUUUUUAAAUGGUUGUAUAAGAACCAGAGCUUUAGGCUUCUUCCUCAUAUUACAUACAUCUGUGUGUGUUAAGCUUUUUAGGAUUACUGUAGCUCCUAUUAUAGAUAGCUCCCUACAAGCAGAAUUACUGAUUUAGGGACAUGAACAAAAAGUUUCUAGACUCUUGAUAAAUUAAAUUCUAACAAAUUAUUUUCCAAAAAAGUUCUGCCAUCAAUAAACGAAAGUAAGAGUGAGCCAUGGAACCAAGGUCUUCUGACUCUAAAUCUCAGGCUUUUAAUUCUGUGCUAGACUUCUGAGCCUCAGUUUUGUUAUUUGUGAAAUACAGAUAGCUGCAUCUGUCAGGAUCAUGACACUCACAGCUGUUUGUGCUCGAAGCACGUCCCGAGAUCCCAAGACCUCAAGGUGUCUGAACACUGUCACCACGUACAAAUGUUUGUCUACCUUCCUACUGUACAAUCAAAGCAAGAAACAAACGUUUGUGAUACAGUGGGCGCUGAAGACACCAUUGCCAUGGCCCUGAUAUCAAGCGUCUGUGCGUCAGGAGAAGCCUUGCAAUUUUGUAUCUUUUAUGUCAUGUUUCAAAGUUGAACAGAACAAUUUACACUAAUGAAAUACUACUUUUAUCUUA